CUAGUAACGGCGAGUGAAGCGGGAAGAGCUCAAAUUUGAAAGCUGUUGCCUUUGGUAACCGCAUUGUAAUCUCGAGAUCUGUUUUCCGCGCUGGACCAUGUACAAGUCCCUUGGAAUAGGGCGUCAUAGAGGGUGAGAAUCCCGUACUUGACAUGGACUCCCAGUGCUUUGUGAUACAGGCUCAACGAGUCGAGUUGUUUGGGAAUGCAGCUCAAAAUGGGUGGUAAAUUCCAUCUAAAGCUAAAUAUUGGGGAGAGACCGAUAGCGAACAAGUACCGUGAGGGAAAGAUGAAAAGCACUUUGGAAAGAGAGUUAAACAGUACGUGAAAUUGUCAAAAGGGAACCGUUUGAAGUUAGUCAUGCUUGCCUGGACUCAGCCUUGCUUUUGCUUGGUGCAUUUCCAGGUACGCAGGUCAGCAUCGGUUUUGACUGCUGGAUAAGGGUGAGAGGAAUGUGGCACCCUCGGGUGUGUUAUAGCCUUUCACUGGAUGCAGCAGUUGGGACCGAGGAACGCAGCGCGCCUUUAUGGCGGACCUUCGGGUACCUUCGCGCUUAGGAUGC
rnacentral:rRNA from 1 species